rnacentral:rRNA from 1 species
GGGGAAUUUUGGACAAUGGGCGCAAGCCUGAUCCAGCCAUGCCGCGUGUCUGAAGAAGGCCUUCGGGUUGUAAAGGACUUUUGUCAGGGAAGAAAAGGCUGUUGCUAAUAUCGACAGCUGAUGACGGUACCUGAAGAAUAAGCACCGGCUAACUACGUGCCAGCAGCCGCGGUAAUACGUAAGGUGCGAGCGUUAAUCGGAAUUACUGGGCGUAAAGCGAGCGCAGACGGUUACUUAAGCAGGAUGUGAAAUCCCCGGGCUCAACCUGGGAACUGCGUUCUGAACUGGGUGACUAGAGUGUGUCAGAGGGAGGUAGAAUUCCACGUGUAGCAGUGAAAUGCGUAGAGAUGUGGAGGAAUACCGAUGGCGAAGGCAGCCUCCUGGGAUAACACUGACGUUCAUGCUCGAAAGCGUGGGUAGCAAACAGGAUUAGAUACCCUGGUAGUCCACGCCCUAAACGAUGUCAAUUAGCUGUUGGGCAACUUGAUUGCUUAGUAGCGUAGCUAACGCGUGAAAUUGACCGCCUGGGGAGUACGGUCGCAAGAUUA